CCUACGGGGGGCAGCAGUGAGGAAUAUUGGUCAAUGGGCUUACGCCUGAACCAGCCAAGUCGCGUGAGGGAAGACUGCUCUAUGGGUUGUAAACCUCUUUUGUCAGGGAGCAACGCCGGCUACGUGUAGCCGGACUGAGAGUACCUGAAGUAAAAGCAUCGGCUAACGUCGUGACAGCAGCCGCGGUAAUACGGAGGGUGCGAGCGUUAUCCGGAGUUAGUGGGUGUAAAGGAAGCGUAGACGGUAGUGCAAGUCCGGCGUGAAACCCCGGGGCUCAACCCUGGGACUGCGCUUGAAACGGUAAAGCUGGAGUGCGGGAGGGGCAGGCGGAAUUCCUGGUGUAGCGGUAAAAUGCGUAGAGAUCAGGAGGAACACCGGCGGCGAAGGCGGCCUGCUGGACCGUAACUGACGUUGAGGCUCGAAAGCGUGGGGAGCAAACAGGAUUAGAUACCCCAGUAGUC
rnacentral:rRNA from 1 species